GAAUAUUGGACAAUGGGGGGAACCCUGAUCCAGCCAUGCCGCGUGGGUGAAGAAGGCCUUUUGGUUGUAAAGCACUUUAUGAGAGGGGGAGGUUACUCUAGUUAAUACCUAGAGAUAGUGGACGUUACUCGCAGCAGAAGCACCGGCUAACUCUGUGCCAGCAGCCGCGGUAAUACAGAGGGUGCAAGCGUUAAUCGGAUUUACGGGGCGUAAAGCGCGCGUAGGUGGCCAAUUAAGUCAAAGGUGAAAUCCCCGAGCUUAACUUGGGAAUUGCAUUCGAUACUGGUUGGCUAGAGUAUGGGAGAGGAUGGUAGAAUUCCAGGUGUAGCGGUGAAAUGCGUAGAGAUCUGGAGGAAUACCGAUGGCGAAGGCAGCCAUCUGGCCUAAUACUGACACUGAGGUGCGAAAGCAUGGGGAGCAAACA
rnacentral:rRNA from 1 species